rnacentral:RNase_MRP_RNA from 1 species
AAUCUUCUUGGGGAAAUUCCCCGGACGCAAGGGCAGAGAGUGCCAACCGGAAACGGGAAUCCUGGCGCGGAUGCUGCUUUCCCGAUAGCGAAGACGGCCAUCUUCGGGUGGCAAGAGCUCCCAAUGGAGAGACGGCUCCGUCACAUAGCCACCGUCUUAGCAAAGUUAUGCCAUAAUUUAACACAACGGGGGUCACUA